rnacentral:rRNA from 1 species
GAUGAACGCUGACAGAAUGCUUAACACAUGCAAGUCUACUUGAAUUUGGGUUUUUAACUUAGAUUUGGGUGGCGGACGGGUGAGUAACGCGUAAAGAACUUGCCUCACAGCUAGGGACAACAUUUAGAAAUGAAUGCUAAUACCUAAUAUUAUGAUAAUAGGGCAUCCUAUAAUUAUGAAAGCUAUAUGCGCUGUGAGAGAGCUUUGCGUCCCAUUAGCUAGUUGGAGAGGUAACGGCUCACCAAGGCGAUGAUGGGUAGCCGGCCUGAGAGGGUGAUCGGCCACAAGGGGACUGAGACACGGCCCUUACUCCUACGGGAGGCAGCAGUGGGGAAUAUUGGACAAUGGACCGAGAGUCUGAUCCAGCAAUUCUGUGUGCACGAUGAAGUUUUUCGGAAUGUAAAGUGCUUUCAGUUGGGAAGAAAGAAAUGACGGUACCAACAGAAGAAGUGACGGCUAAAUACGUGCCAGCAGCCGCGGUAAUACGUAUGUCACGAGCGUUAUCCGGAUUUAUUGGGCGUAAAGCGCGUCUAGGUGGUUAUAUAAGUCUGAUGUGAAAAUGCAGGGCUCAACUCUGUAUUGCGUUGGAAACUGUAUAACUAGAGUACUGGAGAGGUAAGCGGAACUACAAGUGUAGAGGUGAAAUUCGUAGAUAUUUGUAGGAAUGCCGAUGGGGAAGCCAGCUUACUGGACAGAUACUGACGCUGAAGCGCGAAAGCGUGGGUAGCAAACAGG